rnacentral:rRNA from 1 species
UACGUAGGGUGCAAGCGUUGUCCGGAAUUAUUGGGCGUAAAGAGCUCGUAGGCGGUUUGUCGCGUCGUCCGUGAAAACUUGGGGCUCAACCCCAAGCUUGCGGUCGAUACGGGCAGGCUAGAGUUCGGUAGGGGAGACUGGAAUUCCUGGUGUAGCGGUGAAAUGCGCAGAUAUCAGGAGGAACACCGGUGGCGAAGGCGGGACUCUGGGCCGAUACUGACGCUGAGGAGCGAAAGCGUGGGGAGCGAACGGG